CCAGAGUGUCAAUAAGACGUAGUGCACUACUUCAGACCAGAGUGUCAAUAAGACGUAGUGCACUACUUCAGACCAGAGUGUCAAUAAGACUUAGGGCACUACUUUAGACCAGAGUGUCAACGGCUUUGAUCAGAAGUAGUGCACUACUUUAGACUAGAGUGUCAAUAAGACGUAGUGCACUACUUUAGACCAGUGUCAAUAGGAAGUAGUGCACUACUUUAGACCAGUGUCAAUAGGAAGUAGUGCACUACUUUAGACCAGUGUCAAUAGGAAGUAGUGCACUACACAGGGAACAGGGCACCAUUUGAGACGCUCGAAACCAAAACAUGAUUACACGGUGUUAAGAAAUGUAGAAAAAAACCAACACAGAAAUCCUUUUGGCAUGAGGAUAAAAGCCUUUUAAGCCAGAGAGGAGUGUAAAGUAAGGCAGUAACUGUCCUUCAUCAAAUUAUAUUAUUACAUAAACAACAUUUUGUUAAUCUAUUGAAUCCUUUUUGGUUAGUUUGUUGUCGCUUUUCACACAGGGGCUGUUGUUGUAUAAAUAUGACCAGUAUGUGCACUUUCAAACAUUCACGUUAUAUAUAAAAAAUAAACAUAAACAGUUUCACUUAGACAACAGCCACAGAAGACAUCACCAGGGAAACUGGGCUACAGUGAGAGAUGGCAGCCAUUUUGGAUCUGUUUUAAACAAGGGUCCCUCAUGUCCUUCAGGGGGUACCUAAGGUUUAUGCCUGAUUGAAAAAGAGCUUAAAUUUUCUUUUACUUCAGUGAUCACUUAAAUUAGAUAUAAACUCAGUAUGAGUUGUACAUUAAAUUGGUUAGCGAUUUAAGGUGUAUUUACAAUGUGGCUGAAACGCUGUUGGUAUUCAGCUGUUAGAAACAUCAAGACAGAUAGAUACUGGUCAGUUAGAGACAGUAGGACAGAUAGAUACUGGUCAGUUAGAGACAGUAGGACAGAUAGAUACUGGUCAGUUAGAGACAGUAGGAUAGAUAGAUACUGGUCAGUUAGAGACAGUAGGAUAGAUAGAUACUGGUCAGUUAGAGACAGUAGGACAGAUAGAUACUGGUCAGUUAGAGACAGUAGGAUAGAUACUGGUCAGUUAGAGACAGUAGGACAGAUAGAUACUGGUCAGUUAGAGACAGUAGGACAGAUACUGGUCAGUUAGAGACAGUAGGACAGAUAGAU
ensembl:lncRNA